rnacentral:rRNA from 1 species
GACGAACCGUGCGAACGUUAUUCGGAAUCAUUGGGCUUAAAGCGCGCGUAGGCGGCACGCCAAGUGCCUGGGUGAAAUACGAUCGGCUCAACCGUCGUUUGGCCCGGUAUACUGGCGCGCUCGAGGGAUGGAGGGGCCGGCGGGAACUUCCGGUGGAGCGGUGAAAUGUGUUGAGAUCGGAAGGAACGCCAGUGGCGAAAGCGGCCGGCUGGAUCCUUACCUGACGCUGAGGCGCGAAAGCUAGGGGAGCGAACGGG